rnacentral:rRNA from 1 species
AGUGAACGCUGGCGGCAGGCCUAACACAUGCAAGUCGAACGGCAGCACAGUAAGAGCUUGCUCUUACGGGUGGCGAGUGGCGGACGGGUGAGGAAUACAUCGGAAUCUACUUUUUCGUGGGGGAUAACGUAGGGAAACUUACGCUAAUACCGCAUACGACCUACGGGUGAAAGCAGGGGAUCUUCGGACCUUGCGCGAUUGAAUGAGCCGAUGUCGGAUUAGCUAGUUGGCGGGGUAAAGGCCCACCAAGGCGACGAUCCGUAGCUGGUCUGAGGGGAUGAUCAGCCACACUGGAACUGAGACACGGUCCAGACUCCUACGGGAGGCAGCAGUGGGGAAUAUUGGACAAUGGGCGCAAGCCUGAUCCAGCCAUACCGCGUGGGUGAAGAAGGCCUUCGGGUUGUAAAGCCCUUUUGUUGGGAAAGAAAAGCAGCAGGUUAAUACCCCGCUGUUCUGACGGUACCCAAAGAAUAAGCACCGGCUAACUUCGUG